ACCUGGGUGGCUCAGUCAGUUAAGUGUCUGACUUCAGCUCAGGUCAUGAUCUCACAGUUUGUGGGUUCGAGCCCCACAUCAGGCU
rnacentral:tRNA from 1 species